rnacentral:lncRNA from 1 species
CUGCGACUGAUCCUGGAGUCAUGACUUGUUUUGGUGAUAGGAAACUUGCGGACUUGAUGUUAAUGCUGUGGCUAGGCGAUAUGCUUAACGCGACCAGAAGAAGAAGUAAGGACGAGAUGAUCAGGUAACAACGAGCCAUUUUGUCCUGUUUCGAUAUCGUUAUAGAGAGGUAAUAAAUGAAGUAAAACUGAUAAAAUACGUAAUCAUGAACCGGUUUGACCUAAACCGAGAUCUGUUACCGGCAGUUUACCUGCAAGAAGCUCUCCGGUCCAGGCAGCUGCUGAGAAACGAGGAUGUAAAAGAGUCCCAUGACUCCUGUAUGACCAAUGACAUUACUGUAAUUGAACUCCAAAGACAGUGUCUCUCCAUUAGUCACUUUCACCGGUUCAGGAUAACAAGACGACAUUCCAACGAUGUAACCAGCUUCGCUUCCAGGCUCAUCUCCAUUGCCAUACUUCGGCAUCGAGGAGCAUAUUACCUCACCGUCCUGAUCAAAAUCCAUAACACAAGAGUCUCAGUUUUUGAGUAAAAAGUUUUUGCCUUAGCUUAAAACCUUAGGUUGGGUGUUUAUACCCAAACCCGAAAUCCGAACUGAGACCAAACCAAAAUUCUAUCUAAACCAUCAUAAAAAAUAUCCAAAUAGAGUCUAAGAAUACUUUCGGACUCGGGUACAAUCCAAACCAAACUAAAAUCCGUACUAGAAUCCAAAAAAUCCACAUUAGUUAAUCUGUUAAUGUUUUUUUCUACAUAUGUUACGUUAAGAUAGUUUAGAAAUUUUUAAAAAAAUUAGAAUUUUUUGUAGUUUUUAUAGGAAUUGCGAAUCGUUAUUUUGGAAUACUUUUAAUUAGUUUAGGUAGCUUGACAAGUUUUUAAUCAGAUUUUUGAUUUUUUUGUAUAUUUUAAAUAUGUUUUUGUCAAUUUCAUUAAUUUUAUUUCCAGAUUUAAGUACGAUUUUUAGACAAUGGUUAUAAUUUGAUUUGAAUCAAACACAUACGAAAUCGAAUCAAACCCGAUCCAAAAACUAGUAAAAUAUGAAUAAGACCAUUGUGCAUGAUACCGAAAAUCCAAAACAAACCCCUAACAAGACACCAAACGUCCGGGCCUGUUAAAAACUAACCUCUCGGUACAGAGCUGCACCGAUACCACCUGCGUGCUGGUGAGCUACUCCAUAGACAAUAUACCCGUUAAACGGCAUCAUUAAGCUCUUUUUCUUAACAUCAACACACCCAUCACCCUUAGUUUUGCACGGUUUCACGUCAUAUUCCACCUGAAAAGAAAGCAAUUAAUACACCUUAGCUAACGUUUUUAAGUAAUAAAAGCAUUAAUAAGCAGAGAUGUGAAAAGUCUUUACUGACAUGACAAAAAUGUUCUUGGUUAUCUCCUGUUGAUCCUUCUGACCGUUCCCAAGAAUCCGUUACAUCGAGAAUAUAAACCUUAGCCGGCAACAAAACCGAGCUGUCCCAAUCAACCCAUCUCACAGUAUACUUAAGAUACACAGUUCUUGUUUUGUUUCCACUUUCGAAUCCGUUUCUUAACCGACAUUGAGUACUAUUAUAAGCUUUAGUUUGUUAACACUAUUAUACAAGAUUUGUAACAAACUUUAAGAUCAUUAAUGAAUAAAUCAACAUUCUUCUUUGAAUCAAGAACACUUCAAUAACUCCACUCUAAAUCAUCAUAAUCCAAUCAGAUCAGAACCAUAUACUAACCACAAACGCGUUUCAGAGAGUUUAGCGAUAUACAAUACCUUCGUAAUCACCAUUCUUCGAAACGAUCCAGCGACCAUCAAACGCCUCAUCGAACGAUUCAUACAACACCUGAACACAAAUCCAACGAGCUCAGAUCUAAAAAAUCUUCAGAUCUACGAUAACAUUCGGAAACAUUUUCCCGAGAAAAAUCGAAAUCUACCGUAUUAUCGUCGCAGUGGCAAAGGUUCUGGAGCGAGAGGAGAGCUAGGAUAAGCAUAAGGCCGGAGAAUAGCUGCCGGUCUCUCAUCAUCGGAACGGUUCGAGUAGAUCGGAGGGAGAAGAGAGAGAGAGAGAGAGAGAGUGGAAUCUAUUUUUUUUUUUUCCUGAAGAUUUUAGUUUCUCUGAGUGAUUUAUAUAUUUAAAUCCCGUAGACUCGGUCGAGUGUGUCGAUUUUUGUUGUUUCCACCAAUGAGAUCGCUCGCCACGUGGUGAGAGCCAAUAGAUGGACGCCACGUCAUGCGAAAGAGAGGUAUCCUACGUGCGCAAUUUGUAUUGCUACGUAAUGUGCAUGUUUAUUAUACAGAUAGUCUAACGUCAGUAUUGGGCUGGGCCUGUAAUCAAUUUAAAAGUCUCUGGUAGAGUAAGAGUCUUCUAGAAGCAAAAGUAACACAUUUAUCAGGAACAAAGAACCAAAUCAAACUAAACUAAAAAAAAUGAGGUUUGGUUCGGAUUUAGAUCAUAUAAUACACGAAUGAACGGAUCCUAUAACUUUUGAACUGAAAAACCAAAACCAAACUGGAGCAAACAAAGACCCGAAUGGAUACCCGAAUUUUUAUAAUAUAAUAUAUACACUUAUAAAUAUUAACUACAUUUAGUUUCAAAAUGAUAAAAUAAUUUGAAAUACUAUUUCUAAAAACUAAAUCUCCAAAUACAUUUUAUCCGAAAUAUUUUAAAUUAUUUGAACUAUCCAAAUUUUACCUAAAUUAUUGGAUAAAAAUCUAACAUUUAGUAAAAAAAAGACUGAAUUUACUUACUUUUUUUUGAAACACAUCUGAAUUUUCUUACUUUUAACAAAACUUAACAAAAAAACUAAAAUCGAACGGCUAACGAAUAUGAUCCAAAAAUGACCUCGGAUAUUAUUCGGUUUUUAAUUUUGUUAUCUAAACUAAACUGAAAAAUGAAAUAACCGAAUCAGAACCAAAGUGAAUCCUAAACAUCUAAAACUGAAAAGCAGAAAAAAUCGAAAGAACCGAACCGGAACCGAAUCCAAAAUUCUUUAGCGGAGCAAGAGUCUCUAUUGGGCUGGGCCUACUAAUCAAUUUGAAAGUCUCUAGCUGAGCAAGAGUCUUCCACAUACCAUUGACAAAAGCAAACUUUUUACACACGUAAGUCGUAAUAACCAUUACAGAAAUGUCACACACUAGUGGAAGAGUACAAGAUACUUUGUUAUUUUAAUAUUUGGUAUUAGAAAAAGUGGAAAACUAUAAAAUGUUGAAGAUGAAUAUCUAUAGUUUUACUGUUUAGGUACUAAGUGAUUGGUAACCAUCUUCCCGGUUCUUUCUCCGGUAUACCACGGCGACUAUUAGAACCACAACCGCCACCGUCACUGCAAGAAAGGCUAAAAAGCUCAUACUGCUCGAAUGUGCCUGCAAAGAAAUAAUGAAUACUGACGUUAAGUAAAGUAACACACAUGGUAAUAACCGGUUUGACCUAAACCGAGAUCUGUUACCGGCAGUUUACCUGCAAGAAGCUCUCCGGUCCAGGCAGCUGCUGAGAAACGAGGAUGUAAAAGAGUCCCAUGACUCCUGUAUGACCAAUGACAUUACUGUAAUUGAACUCCAAAGACAGUGUCUCUCCAUUAGUCACUUUCACCGGUUCAGGAUAACAAGACGACAUUCCAACGAUGUAACCAGCUUCGCUUCCAGGCUCAUCUCCAUUGCCAUACUUCGGCAUCGAGGAGCAUAUUACCUCACCGUCCUGAUCAAAAUCCAUAACACAAGAGUCUCAGUUUUUGAGUAAAAAGUUUUUGCCUUAGCUUAAAACCUUAGGUUGGGUGUUUAUACCCAAACCCGAAAUCCGAACUGAGACCAAACCAAAAUUCUAUCUAAACCAUCAUAAAAAAUAUCCAAAUAGAGUCUAAGAAUACUUUCGGACUCGGGUACAAUCCAAACCAAACUAAAAUCCGUACUAGAAUCCAAAAAAUCCACAUUAGUUAAUCUGUUAAUGUUUUUUUCUACAUAUGUUACGUUAAGAUAGUUUAGAAAUUUUUAAAAAAAUUAGAAUUUUUUGUAGUUUUUAUAGGAAUUGCGAAUCGUUAUUUUGGAAUACUUUUAAUCAGUUUAGGUAGCUUGACAAGUUUUUAAUCAGAUUUUUGAUUUUUUUUUUUGUAUAUUUUAAAUAUGUUUUUGUCAAUUUCAUUAAUUUUAUUUCCAGAUUUAAGUACGAUUUUUAGACAAUGGUUAUAAUUUGAUUUGAAUCAAACACAUACGAAAUCGAAUCAAACCCGAUCCAAAAACUAGUAAAAUAUGAAUAAGACCAUUGUGCAUGAUACCGAAAAUCCAAAACAAACCCCUAACAAGACACCAAACGUCCGGGCCUGUUAAAAACUAACCUCUCGGUACAGAGCUGCACCGAUACCACCUGCGUGCUGGUGAGCUACUCCAUAGACAAUAUACCCGUUAAACGGCAUCAUUAAGCUCUUUUUCUUAACAUCGACACACCCAUCACCCUUAGUUUUGCACGGUUUCACGUCAUAUUCCACCUGAAAAGAAAACAAUUAAUACACCUUAGCUAACGUUAAAAGCAUUAAUAAGCAGAGAUGUGAAAAGUCUUUACUGACAUGACAAAAAUGUUCUUGGUUAUCUCCUGUUGAUCCUUCUGACCGUUCCCAAGAAUCCGUUACAUCGAGAAUAUAAACCUUAGCCGGCAACAAAACCGAGCUGUCCCAAUCAACCCAUCUCACAGUAUACUUAAGAUACACAGUUCUUGUUUUGUUUCCACUGUCGAAUCCGUUUCUUAACCGACAUUGAGUCUUAUCGUAGCAGCAGUCUUGACCUCCUUUGUAUCCAGGUUCUAAAGCUCGACCGUACUCAUCAACCGUUACAUUAUAAAGACCACACCGACACUCGGUGCAUCCUUGUUUAUCCACAACCCCUCUAGUGUCAAUAGCGUGAAUAUUUAGAAGCCAUUUGAACUCAUACCCAUCAGGUACUUUCUCCGGGUUACCGAUCUCGAUCGCGUAAGGAUCAGGAACAUACGUCGAAGUCUUGCGUGUUUCUGAUCCUAACCCAAAGUAUUGUCUAACUCUGUUCCUACACAACCCUCCGUUACUAACGAGAAUAUAAUCAGGGCUCGAACCAAGGUUCCUAGGCGUGUCUAGGUGCGAAAGGUUGAGACCUUUACGCACGUAGUAAGGGUGCACAACCCAGUGGUGGAGAUAUGUCUCGUGUAACGGGACGGGGUUACCGUCUUGGUCGACUACUUCGGCGUCGAAACCUUUGAGGCCGAUGUGGCCUCUAGGGAAAUCGAUGUCGAACAGGUAAGGGUCUGCGACUGAUCCUGGAGUCAUGACUUGUUUUGGUGAUAGGAAACUUGCGGACUUGAUGUUAAUGCUGUGGCUAGGCGAUAUGCUUAACGCGACCAGAAGAAGAAGUAAGGACGAGAUGAUCAGGUAACAACGAGCCAUUUUGUCCUGUUUCGAUAUCGUUAUAGAGAGGUAAUAAAUGAAGUAAAACUGAUAAAAUACGUAAUCAUGCAUGGAUAAAUUAACAUCUCAAACUCUUAACCUAGUUUUGUUUGAAAUAAAACUGUGGACACAACAAACCCACUUGAAAGUUUGAAACCUGAUUUAACUACAAGAUGUCAAGUUACAAAAACGAAUAAUCUAGCAUAAUCUUAAAUAAGUUUGUUGGGACCAGGGCCCGCACUGAGAUUUUGAGGAGGGAGGAUUAUACAUGGUUUAAGAAUGAUUUCUAUACUUUAGGAACCUAUAAAUUUUUUUUUUAUAAAUUUAGAAGUCUAUUUAUAUAUAUAUUUAAAAAAAAAAUGGAAGUUUGAAACAAAUGUUUCAUCGAGCUUGGUUGAGGACCGGUCUUGAAGCCGGAUCUGAAAUUUCAGGAGAUAUAAAUAUUUUUUCUAAAACUUUAAUUAAAAAUUGCAAUUUAGGAGCUUAUCACUAUAUAAAAACCUGCAUAAAUUUUGGAGGCCAAAACUAAUGUUUUUUUUUUGAAAAAUAGGCCAAAACUAAUGUUUCACACGGUUAUUCUUAAUCUGAACUCUGAAGCUCAUACAUAAAGGGACGCAGAGAUGUUAGAUAAGUUCCUGAUUCGAACCUAUCUACUACGUAACUGUCUUCCCUAUCAACAAAAAAACACGAUUACAAAAGACAGAAAGCUAGGGAGUGAGAGAUUUACGUG